GCGAAUUCGGAGACCUCCGCACACACCUUGGAGACCUCUGAUCACACGUAUCAGAGUAAUUUGACAAUCUGAUCAAUUGCCAAAGUCGCCCCGUCUUCGACCAAAAUUUAGACGUAAAUCAACCACUGCUGGCCCGAACAUUUCUGCCCAAACACUUUUGCAGACUGACCUAAUGAACUCUAAGCUGUAACUAACCAAGUAUCUCUGACCUCCGUCAUUCACCACCUUGACGACGAUAAACCUGUUACCGAGGAAGAUGGAGAUGGAGAUCCAAGCAUAAGAGAAAAAAACAGAAUGAAAAGAGAAAAAGACCUGAUUACUUUUGACAGAGAUAUAAAGAAAAUUUUAUCUGGCUUGACCAAGGAUGCUCAACCCUGAGCUCACAAACCAGAUCCAGUCUACAGAGCCACGUAAUCACCCUGUGAGUUGCUCCAUGAGCCCAGGUUAGUGAGCUGAUGCGGGUUGUGGAGUGUGCACUUACCUUUGGAGAAAAGUGCCAUUUGCUUCCACUUCAGGCCAGGUGAAGUGAACCAGACCCCCUGGCAGUGAACAUCUUUGGACAUGUUUUAGUCAAAAGCAU